UACAGAGGUCUCAAGCGUUGUUCGGAUUCAUUGGGCGUAAAGGGUGUGUAGGUGGCGCGCUAAGUCGGGUGUGAAAUUUCGGAGCUUAACUCCGAAACUGCAUUCGAUACUGGCGUGCUUGAGGACUGGAGAGGAGACUGGAAUUCAUGGUGUAGCAGUGAAAUGCGUAGAGAUCAUGAGGAAGACCAGUGGCGAAGGCGGGUCUCUGGACAGUUCCUGACACUGAGACACGAAAGCCAGGGGAGCAAACGGG
rnacentral:rRNA from 1 species